CCUAGCACAGUGAAGGGAGCGCUUUCCAUGAAAGGAUUGGCAGGAUAUCGGCAGGUGACUUGGUCCAUCUGGCUUUCUCUCGUGCAUCUUGGUUUAGAGACAUUUAUCAUGCACUUACACUGACUUUCCACUGAGUGGCAGCGUGUGGGUGGCUGAUGGUGCAACUAUGCCAUCAAACCCCAUGUAUAAGAAAACACCUUUUGAAAAGCUGUCCGCUGUAGUAGCCUCUAUGCGUGAAAGGGUCAUGUUUUUCUCCGUGUAUAAAGUGUAAACACAUUAAUUAGUGUUUCAAGGGGGGAGGAGUAUUUUUGUUAGGUGCACACAAAACGCCAACUCCUAUUGGUCUCGGGAGCAGAGACAUUCCUCCUGCUCUGAAUGCCUCAUCAUGAAGUCGUGUGCACAAACGUCUUUGUAAUCAUCUACUACGUGCCCGCGUGCAGCGUGACAGGCGCAGUUUGCACCCUGUCCUGUUGUUCCCAGAAGGCUUUAAAAACACCGCCCAUCUUCCAGAGCUCACAAAACACUCUCAUCUCAGACCAAAGACCUUCUCACGAGGACAAGAGGCAUCACCUGAGAACAUGGACCCUUGCGACUGCUCCAAGAGUGGGACCUGCAACUGCGGAGGAUCCUGCACUUGCACAAACUGCUCCUGCAAAAGCUGCAAGAAGAGCUGCUGCCCAUGCUGCCCAUCCGGCUGCACCAAAUGCGCCUCUGGCUGUGUGUGCAAAGGGAAGACUUGUGACACAAGCUGCUGUCAGUGAAGGACCUCUGCCCGCUUCUGCCUUUUGGGGUGGAGCCCUUAUGAAUACCUUGACUAAAUUUACUGUUGUGAAUGUCUUCAGAAAAUGAUUUAUUUCUUUUUUUGUACUUGUUUUCAAUGUCGAAAUAAAUGAAUUUACUUGA